UGUAGCAGCUCCAGCGAGGCAGAAGAGUUUGGACACAAUAGCAGUCCUGUCUGGAUGCGACUCUGCAAUGUAUCAUCCAAAGCUAAGUGUUUAAACAUUUUGCUUCAAUCACUGUACUACUGCUCAUCAUAACCACUUUUGUAGAAAAAUGUUAAUCCUAAUCUAAUUUUGGUUUUGAUGUUUUUCAGCAAUUGUGCAGUUAAAGACAGAAUGCCUGAGAAGAUCAAGUGUGCCACAACACUGAUGAUGACCAUCUGAAUACCAGCAUCUGUGGAUAUCCAGCCUGUAAGACGAGUCAGAUCCAGUGGCUAGAUGGCGGGAGAUGCCUCAAUAGUCAACUUCCUUCAUUUAAUAAUUGGAUGAACAGUUAAUUUUAAUGUUUAUAAAUUGUUUGACAUAAUUGGUUUAAUUUCAAAAUAUAUUUAUUUUUUAUAUAUUAGUGUAA